rnacentral:pre_miRNA from 1 species
AGGGACAUUGACUAGCAAGCUGUUGUUAUAUUUUAUGCCCAGCUUUCUGGUAAUAGUCUCCCU